UACGGAGGAUGCGAGCGUUAUCCGGGUUUAUUGGGUUUAAAGGGUGCGCAGGCGGUCUGUUAAGUCAGCGGUCAAAGCCCGGGGCUCAACCCCGGCCCGCCGUUGAAACUGGCAGUCUCGAGUUGGAGAGAUGUAUGCGGAAUGCGCGGUGUAGCGGUGAAAUGCAUAGAUAUCACGCAGAACUCCGAUUGCGAAGGCAGCGCACCGGCGCCCUACUGACGCUCAGGCACGAAAGCGUGGGUAUCGAACAGG
rnacentral:rRNA from 1 species